CUCCAAUUUUUAUUUUUUACAAUUGUAGUGUUCAAGAAAAAUAGUCAUAGCAAUCAGAUAUAUCGCCACGUUAGUCUUGAUGCAGCAAAUAUACUAAUGUAAUGAAUAAAAUGUCAAAAUCCAAAUCAGUAUUAAACCGAUUCCUUAGUUUUUAAUGAAAAUAAAUAAUUUUAUAAAAUUCUAAACGAUGAAAACUAUUUUCUUUAGCUAAAAUUAUGAAGUUUGGCGUACAUAAGUUUUGGGUCCUCUUUUGAUUGCUAAAUUAAAUUUGACCACCAUAGUUCUCACAUGAGGCAUUGUAAUUAGUAGAAGAGAAGUCAAAACUACGAAAACCUUGAUCGAAUUGAUCAUGUAACGAAUCUAGAAGGGCAUGAUAUUUCAAAAUCUCAAUGGAUCAAAAUAUUGUAACUAUGUUUAUGUAUUAUUUUUCAUAAGAAGAAUAUACCUAUUAAGAGAUAUAAUGCAUGAUGGAAUAUUUGGUCAGGUAAAAGUCAUUUUCAACAAAAGAAUCUUCAUUAGCUUUCCUUAAUCCAACUUGCUCACAUUUACAACUUUUUAAUUGCGUGAAUUCAAUUACAUAGUUUGAUUAUUUAAUGACCUAAAAGUAGUUUGCACUGUAAAAUCAUCGUUAGGUAAUGGGAAAUUGUGUUGUGGGUGGCCAUUCCAACCUUCGUUGGCCAAAAUAGAAAUGAACGAAAGAGG
rnacentral:lncRNA from 1 species